rnacentral:lncRNA from 1 species
CAUCUUUAUCAUCACCAACUUCAUCUUCUUCUUCUACUAGGUGAGUUCUUAGAUAGUUUUAGCCUUUGGGGGAAAAUAAUCUAUAUUUGUGGGGUUAGGGUUUGUAUGAAUUUGUGAUAAACUUGUUGUGUUCAUACUCCCUAUCCGUGCUAUGUGUUGAUAUCAUGUUGAUUGUUGUGGAAAAAUUAUGUUAUGUGGAAAUAGUAGGUAAAAAUGGUAUAUGGAAAGGAAAAUAAA